UGCUCUCUGAGUAUUAUUUAAAGGGCCGCGGUAAUUUGACCGUGCAAAGGUAGCAUAAUAGUUAGUUUUUUAAUUGGAAUCUUGUAUGAAUGGUUGGACGAAAAAAAUACUGUCUUUGUAAUUAUUAUUGAAUUUAACUUUUAAGUGAAAAGGCUUAAAUUAUUUAGUAAGACGAUAAGACCCUAUAAAGCUUUAUAAUUAAAUUUUAUUAGAUUAAAUUAUUUAUAAAAUUUUAGUAAAUUUUAUUAUUUUAUUGGGGAGAUAAUUAUUAUAAUGGAUAAUAACUGUAAAUAAUUAAAACAAAUAUAAAUGUUUAUAUAAUAAUAAAAGAUCCUGAUUUUAGAUUGUAAGUUUAAGUUACUUUAGGGAUAACAGCGUUAUUUUUUUUGAGAGUUCAUAUCGAAAAAAAAGAUUGCGACCUCGAUGUUGAAUUAAAAAUUCUGAGUAGUUGUAGAAGCUAC
rnacentral:rRNA from 1 species